ensembl:processed_transcript Gm15651 predicted gene 15651
CAGGCCAAGGACAUUUCCGUGGUAGCAGGGUGUUUCUCUCUCAUCAUAUGGAAUCUGUGUGCAAUUGAAGCAUCCUGGAAACGGAAGAAAAGAAGGCAAGAAAAGCCUGGUUAGUGAUUGUGGCCAUGAGGUAUGGUGGGAAGACACACAUAUAUGCCCCUGGAAGGCCCAGAUUCCAGAGACUCCAAAUCAUAGGGGCACAGCACCGCGUCCAGGCGUAAGCUAGUGCCACCACUCCGUCCUUUGAGAGCCUCACUUGGUUGCCUCAGAGCCUGGCACUCAUCACAGUAUCUCAAGCCCAGUGAGUGGCCACAGUUCAGCCUUUGUAAACACAGGCAAGAGCAGGCUCUAAAGAGAAGAGUGAGGGGCUCUCCUCAGGUGAAGCCAGAAGCCAGUGAGGAGUGGGUGAGGUGUGGUGAGGUGUGGUGUGGUGUGGUGUGGUGUGGUGUGGUGUGGUGUGGUGUGGUGAUGGGUGGUGACAUAAAGUGAGGACUAUUUCAUGAGAAGUUGCAAAAAUAGUACUUUUUCUCAUGUCCCACUCACCCAGCGUCCAGCGAUGAUAACAUCUUAUAUAACAGCACAUUAUCAAACCCAAAGCUGUCGCUGGUAUUAACUCUUUGUUGUCUGUUUCACCCAAAACAAUUAACAAUAGUACUGGAUAGUGCGUUUAGCAGACAACAAAAGUGUAUUAAACGUCUAACUUCUGCCUAUUAAUCAUUCUAUCCACAGGACUGCCUCUGAAGCUAGCGACAAUCUUGAUCCUUUCCUAUCCAAUCUGUUGCCCCACCCCCCACUUUGGCUGCAUGGCUGGCUAUCUGUACCACAGAACUCACCACGACGCUCCAUGACACUGUGUUUCUGGGUGUCCCAUUUCUCAGGUUGGAACCAGAGUCCAGCCCAGAGUCCUAUCUGCAUCCCACACUCCCAUUACAGCUAUCUGUGAGUGCUCAUGGUUGUGACUGGUGUUGACAUGGUGGGGCUCCAGGACCUAUAGGCCAGAAUAGGAUCCAAGCUGAACUCGGUUCUUCACUCUUAGCCUCCUGCACCUCCUAACGAGCCCAGCAGAAGAGUGUGUACUGCCCCCUUAUCACACAGUCCCAAUCGAGCACUGUGGAGGCAGAUGCUGAACACUCGAAAUUAACUAACUAAUUGGUUGGAGACAGGACAGCCCAGAAACAAGGAGCUGAUUUAGAUUUGCCCAGAAGUGACUGCAGCAGCCAAUCAGAAAUCUCUGGGGAUGCUGGGGUAUCCCUGUAGUCUCAGCAUGUGGAUAGAGUGAGGCAGGAGGAUUUAGAGUUCAAGGCUAGCCUGGACUACAAGGUGGUACUAUAUCUCAAUGAACCUACCCACUCACACGCCUACCUAACAACCAACAAUCAACAAAUAAAUAACCAACAAAAAUCUCUUUAUUAGACUCCGUGUUCAAAAGAUUCUUAAAAUUCUGGAGAGCCAAAAAUAAAAGUUCAUAGAGCAGAUUUUUAGCUAAUGUAUAUUCCCUCUUCCCCUCUCUUCCCUUUUCGUUUCCUCUCUUCCUUCUUUCCUUCUUUUCCCCUUUCUCCUCUCUCUCUCUCUCUCUCUCUCUCUCUCUCUUUCUCUUUCCCUCCUUCUCUCCCUCUUUCUUCUAAGACAGCUCUUACCAUGUGGUUCUAGCUGGCCUGGAACUCACUAUGUAUACCAGCAGUUCUCAACCUUUUGGGCCUGACCUCUGUGGGGGUCAAACAACUCUUUCACAGAGGUCUCCUAAGAUUAUCGGAAAACACAGACAUUGACAUUAUGGUUCAUAACAGUUGCAAAAUUAUAGUUAUGAAGCAGCAGCAAAAAGAAUUUCAUGGUUGGAGUCACCACGGUAUGAGUUAAAGGGUCACAGCAUUAGGAAGGUUGAGAACCACAGAUGUAGACUGUACUCAGCUCAAACUCUGAGAGAUCCUCCUGCCUCUGACUCCCCUGCAUUGGGAUUAAAGCUGUGUGCUCUUCCAUGCUGGGCAUAUUGUAUCUUGAUAAGGAAAGUCAACAUUAGAGCAUCAAGUGCAGCUCUCUGAAGAAGCAUUUGGGGUGCAUACCAUGUGUGAUGAAUUUCAUUAUGGAUAGGGGUGACCCCAUCCAGCAGCCACCAUGUGGAAUCUGGGAGGGCAGGUACUGGCUUAUUUUGUGGCUGAUAAACAUUCCUUGGGCAUUUAACAGUUAAAUUUUGCUACUGGUUUACUCUUGUAGUUUUCUGAUCUGUCAAGAGCUGAUAGUCUGGGCAGAGUCACCUUGUAGACACAUGGUGGCAGGUGUCAAAAUUCAGGGGGGCCUGUUCGGACCCCUUGAACCCACACAGCCGUCUCAGCUCCUCUGUGCAGCUCCUCUUCCUAGCCUAGACCAUGCCUAUCUCCCUCUCGUCCAGCAAGUCUCAAUGAACAUUCCCAACAAGAUAUAUGUGAUAUUUGUCAAAUGAUUUUCUAGAAUUCCGGAAAAGCAUUCCAUCUAGCUGUGUUCCUUUGAAACACUGAUUUUCUCCUGUCAGG